GAUGAACGCUGGCGGCGUGCCUAAUACAUGCCAGUAGAACGCUGAAGGAAGGAGCUUGCUCUUUCCGGAUGAGUUGCGAACGGGUGAGUAACGCGUAGGUAACCUGCCUGGUAGCGGGGGAUAACUAUUGGAAACGAUAGCUAAUACCGCAUAACAGUAGAUGUUGCAUGAUAUCUACUUAAAAGGUGCAAUUGCACCACUACCAGAUGGACCUGCGUUGUAUUAGCUAGUUGGUGAGGUAACGGCUCACCAAGGCGACGAUACAUAGCCGACCUGAGAGGGUGAUCGGCCACACUGGGACUGAGACACGGCCCAGACUCCUACGGGAGGCAGCAGUAGGGAAUCUUCGGCAAUGGACGGAAGUCUGACCGAGCAACGCCGCGUGAGUGAAGAAGGGUUUCGGAUCGUAAAGCUCUGUUGUAAGAGAAGAACGAGUGUGAGAGUGGAAAGUUCACACUGUGACGGUAUCUUACCAGAAAGGGACGGCUAACUACGUG
rnacentral:rRNA from 1 species